rnacentral:rRNA from 1 species
GCGCAGGCUGAUCAGCCUGUCGCGUGCAGGAGAAGGAUCUAUGGUUCGUAAACUUCUUUUGCAGGGGAAUAAAGUGCAGGACGUGUCCUGUUUUGUAUGUACCCUGAGAAUAAGGAUCGGCUAACUCCGUGCCAGCAGCCGCGGUAAUACGGAGGAUCCGAGCGUUAUCCGGAUUUAUUGGGUUUAAAGGGUGCGUAGGUGGUUUGAUAAGUCAGCGGUGAAAGUUUGCAGCUUAACUGUAAAAAUGCCGUUGAAACUGUCGGACUUGAGUGUAAAUGAGGUAGGCGGAAUGCGUGGUGUAGCGGUGAAAUGCAUAGAUAUCACGCAGAACUCCGAUUGCGAAGGCAGCUUACUAAGCUACAACUGACACUGAAGCACGAAAGCGUGGGGAUCAAACAGGAUUAGAUACCCUGGUAGUCCACGCAGUAAACGAUGAUUACUAGCUGUUUGCGAUACACAGUAAGCGGCACAGCGAAAGCGUUAAGUAAUCCACCUGGGGAGUACGCCGGCAACGGUGAAACUCAAAGGAAUUGACG